AUAACUGGUUUUAAUUGGAGUAAUAUACCUGAAUGGUAAAAAAAAUAAAAAAAAUAUGUGAUCAGUUUAAUAUCUGAUACUUCCCCUAUCUGAGGACCAUACAGGGAGAUGGAAGAAGAGCUUGCUCUGUCCACUCCACGCAUCAACCUGGAAUUGCAGUACCUCCAGGACCGGUGCACUUCUC
rfam:Xenopus laevis strain J chromosome 8L, whole genome shotgun sequence.